AUGAUCAAUGCCAACGUGAUUCACAACAGCCAAAAGGUGGAAACCAACCAGAGAGGCUCCACACAGAUCCUCCCUACCCCCAGGAUCCCAAGGACAGGGCACCCUCCCGCCGGCCCCAUCCGACUCCCACCCCGUCCGUUAACUCGGGCAAUUCUCAGCACCUCCUUUGAUGACCAGCUCCGGGAAGGGGCAGGCCGAGUACCCCAGGCCCCGCGACCGCCCGCUCUUUCCCCCACCAAACCUCCCAGGGGAGCUCGGCCAGGCGUCCCUGCAGGGCCCCCUCCAAGCUGGAACCAGCCCCCCUCUCCCAAGCCAGGGCCCUCCCCGCUCCGCCCCGACCCGGCCAGGCCCCGUCCUCCGUCCAGCCCGGGUCAGGCCUCUCAGCCCCGCAGCCGCUGCAGGCAGACCCCCGUCUCGCCCCAACUCCUUCCCCGAGCCUCGUCUCCCGGCGCCCCACAGGAGCGGCCCUCGGUUCCGGAGGGGAGCGCCUCGGGCCUCGACAACCCGGCAGAGCCGGCGGGCCCGGGCUCCACUCACCCCUCAGCCCGGGAGGCGGGGGAGCUGCUGCGGCGGCGCCUCCGGCUGCGCCUCUCCUCCCCCCUCCCGGCCGCCGCCGCCGCCGCCGCUCAGCCUCCGGCCUGGUCCCCAGCCGGCCCUGGCCCGGCUCCUCUUCACCUCGUCCCCCAAUCCGGCCGCCGGAGCCCAGUGUCCUGCAUUGACCCGGAAGCAGCUCUCUCUGCCCAACAACAACACGUGACCUUGGCGCACGUGUCACGUCGGCUGCGUGGAUGGGAGGGGGUGCCGGAGGAGCAGGUCCUCCCCGACCAAGCUGGGGUUGCCAUGGCGACAGGGAUGCUGCUUGGUCUGGGCCUCCCCAGAAGCUCAGCUCAUCUGUCUCUGGUUCCUGCCUGUGCAUUGAGGGUUCAUCCCCGGAGCAUACAUGGACUACAAAUGGUGCUGACUGAUCUUAAAGAGGACCCAGCCUUGUGUGGUGAAGACACAGGAAGAAUGCAGGCAGAGGUGGAUGUGCUUUUGUUGUGUGUGUGUGUCCGGGAGGACAUGGGGGCGUGUUUGCACAUGUAUGAGUUGAGUCCUGGGGUGAGGGAUAGGAAAUUCUGUAGGAGAGACCUAUGGCAGCUGACAGCAUCAGGUCCUGGGGACUCAUUUUUGUCAUUUUGUUUUGCUUGAUCUUACCCCAUAGUCGGGGCUUAGAGGGGAAAAUCUCCAAAAAGAGCUGGUUAAAAAUGAUGCCCUGAGGAGGAGGGGGAGGAAGAGCCAGGCAGUGGGGGCGAGGUUGCUCAGGUGGGGCCUUUCCUCCUCCCUUUGCAGAGAGCAGCAUGAUCUCCUGGAACCUUAAGAACUAAUAGCUGGGGCCAGCACUGUAGUGCAGCGGGGUAAGCCACAGCUUGCAAUGGGUUUGAACCCCAGUACUCUGCUUCCAGUACAGCUCCCUACUAAUGCACCUAGGAAAGCAGAAGAUGGACCAAGUACUUGGGACCCUGCUACCCACACGGGAGACCCAGAUGGAGUUUCUGGCUCCUGGCUUUGGCCUGGCCCAGCCCCAACCAUUGCAGCCAGUUGGGGAGUGUACCUGCCAUAGAUGAUUAUUUAAAUUUAAUUUAAUUGAAAUUAAAAUUUCAUUUCCUCAGUCACAUGACACUAGACACACUUCGAGUGCUUGAUUGCCAUCUAUGGCCCUCACACCAGAAUCUGAGUUCAAGGAAUACAGUUCUAUCAUGAAGUUUCAGUCAAACAUUUGCAUGUCCUUUUAAUUCAGCAAAUGUUUAUUUCAUAUUGGUUACACCUGUUGUCCUUUAGCUAAGUGGUUGGGGGAAAACAAAGAUAAAUAAGGCAUGGUCGCUUUGAAAAAGUAAUGCAAAUUUGGAAAAGUAGUACAAAUACAGAAAUAACUGAUACAGGCCAAUGAAAGGGAUGUUGUUGUUUAAGUGGGAUAAGGGAGUCAUAUUCAGAGCUGAAGACUCUUCGCAAGCAGGCAAACGGAUGACAGAAUUGUAUGAGAAUUCAACCUGGGUAACAGUAGUGCUCAGAUGGGAGUAGUAGGCAAGAGAAAAGCAGCUUGUUUGCUUAAAAAAAUAAUGUCUGGUUUGGAAAUUAGGUCUUUGAUACCAGUCCUGCUUUGUCCACUAACCAACUGUGUCUCGUGAACUCCUUCUGCCUUAGACUAUUAACUACCAACUAACCUGGAUUAAAUAAACUACUGUAAUGAAUCACCCCAAAUCACGUGUAACAUAUUGUAUAUACUACACUGUGUGUUAUGUACCUGGGCAUUUCAAGGGGAAGUACCAUAGAUUCCUUCAGAUUCAAAAAGAAAUCCCAAUUCAAAAAAUGUAGGGUGCAUGAUCCCUUUAAAUUCUGUAAGUUUCAUGUUCCAUAUAUUAUUUGUAUUGACUUUAUUGAUAUAUUUGUCAGGAAAUACACUGUUGUGCCAAGCUUAGUGACCAAGCAAAGAGCAGAGAUUUCUAAAUUUAUUUUAAACUGGAGAGUCAUACUUAGAACUAUUUAGAAAGUGUCACAAUUUCCUUACUGGGCAGAAUAUGGUCUUUAAAAAAAAAAAAAAAAACUCUUAAUUUGCUUUGCUGCAAUUUCCAUAGAUGAAUCAGUCACCAGAAGCUUGAUUUUCAAGGAAGACGUACAGUUAUUAAAAUCAUCUGCAAAACAUUGCUAGAAGCCUCACAACCUCUUUUA